UACGUAGGGGGCUAGCGUUGUCCGGAAUCAUUGGGCGUAAAGCGCGUGUAGGCGGCCCGGUAAGUCCGCUGUGAAAGUCGGGGGGCUCAACCCUGGGAUGCCGGUGGAAACUGUCGGGCUAGAGUCCGGAAGAGGCGAGUGGAAUUCCUGGUGUAGCGGUGAAAUGCGCAGAUAUCAGGAGGAACACCAAUGGCGAAGGCAGCUCGCUGGGACGGUACUGACGCUGAGACGCGAAAGCGUGGGGAGCAAACAGG
rnacentral:rRNA from 1 species